GACGAAGGGGGCUAGCGUUGUUCGGAAUUACUGGGCGUAAAGCGAGUGUAGGUGGUUGUCCAAGUUGGAUGUGAAAGCCUUGAGCUCAACUCAAGAAAUGCAUUCAGGACUGGGCGGCUAGAGGACCGGAGAGGAUAGUGGAAUUCCCAGUGUAGUGGUGAAAUUCGUAGAUAUCGGGAGGAACACCGGUGGCGAAGGCGGCGAUCUGGGCAGAUAUUGACGCUGAGGUGCGAAAGCGUGGGGAGCAAACAGGG
rnacentral:rRNA from 1 species